GUGUCAGGUCAACUACGUGUUGACCUGGUGCCGAAUGGAAGCAAAUAAGCCCGCCGCCUGGGGAGUACGGCCGCAAGGCUGAAACUUAAAGGAAUUGGCGGGGGAGCACACAAGGGGUGGAUGCUGCGGUUUAAUUGGAGUCAACCUCGGGAACGUUACCCAGGGGAGACAGCAGGAUGAAGGCCAGAUUGAAGGUCUAUGCCGGACGAGCUGAGAGGAGGUGCAUGGUCGUCGCCAGCUCGUGCCGUGAGGUGAUCCUGUUAAGUCAGGCAACGAGCGAGACCACCGCCCGUAGUUGCUACCAGAACUCGGAAGGGUUGUGGGCACAUUUAGGGGGACUGCCGCCGAUAAGGCGGAGGAAGGAGGGGGCUACGGCAGGUCAGUAUGCCCCGAAUCCCCUGGGCCACACGCUGCAUACAAUGGCAGGGACAAUGGGUUGCCACCCCGAAAGGGGGAGCUAAUCCCCAAACCCUGCCUCAGUUGGGAUCGAGGGUUGCAACUCACCCUCGUGAACCCGGAAUCCCUAGUAAUCGCGCGUUACCAACGCGCGGUGAUACGUCCUGCUCCUGC
rnacentral:rRNA from 1 species